rnacentral:rRNA from 1 species
AUACGUAGGUGGCAAGCGUUGUCCGGAAUUAUUGGGCGUAAAGCGCAUGUAGGCGGUUUGGUAAGUCGGUCGUGAAAAUGCGGUGCUUAACGCCGUAUGGCGAUUGAAACUGCUGAACUUGGGUGCAGGAGAGGAAAGGGGAACUCCCAGUGAAGCGGUGAAAUGCGUAGAUAUUGGGAAGAACACCGGUGGCGAAGGCGCCUUUCUGGACGGUGUCGGACGCUCAGAUGCGAAAGCCAGGGUAGCGAACGGGAUUAGAUACCCCGGUAGUCCUGGCCGUAAACGAUGGGUACUAGGUGUGGGAGGUAUCGACUCCUUCCGUGCCGGAGUUAACGCAAUAAGUACCCCGCCUGGGGAAUACGGCCGCAAGGCUUAAACUCAAAUGACUGGCU